rnacentral:lncRNA from 1 species
GCACAGGUGCAGCACACACAGUUAUCCAGGGCCCCUAGAAAGGUCUAAGGCUGGAGCCAAUUGCAGCCCUAACCAAGAUCUCCCUGAGUGGGGAGCUGUGUACCCAGACAGCAGGACUCCAUUUGUGGACAGAUUGAGCAGGAGACACCCCAAGUGGGCAGAUGUAUCUCUCACCAGAGCUUGGAACAGACUCCUCGUCACUCAGUAAAUGGUUACCCUUCUUGCCAGGAGAAGUGC